UUCACUUGUGCACUGCUUAACAUACAGAAACUCAGCUUCCAUACUUGGACACUUACGAAGCUUUUGACUUAUUUCUUGUCAAAGCAAUAAACUUGAGACUCGUAUUCUUGUACCUAGUUAUUGAAGAAUUUUACUGCUGGAUGUGACCAUUUCCCGUCAUGCUACUGCAAUGGUCACCAGAAGCAGGAUUUCUGUGUAUUCUCUGCCAAAAGACCACUCAAAACCUGUAAUGGAACAAGAAUUACAUGGCUUCUAACAAAUAACUCUACUUCACUUUCAAAGUUAAUUCUGGAAAGAGAAGAGACUAAGGUGAAGGGCAGACUGCCAAAAGUCAAACAGCUCCACCUUGGAUCUCAAAUAUCCCUGCCUCUAGAAGCACUGAGAGCCAUGCACUCUUGAGAACUGUCUCCAGAGCUACAGAAAGUCCCUCAGUUUUGUCUGUGUACAGGAGUUGAAUACCUGUAAGCUCAGCAUCAUAGAAAUGAUCCUAUUUGAGUCUUAAAUCACACAAUCUUUUUAAAAUGCUAGUAGUUUUGUGGAGACGGGCUUUGUCUAAAUUCAUAAGGAUGCUUACAUGUUGAAGAGAGUAA